GGAUGUGAAGGCGAUUUGUCUGUGACAUCUGUCACCCCAUUGAUCACCAGGGUUGACUCAGCUGAUCUGGCUGGCUACAUGGGUGUCUCCUUUCUCUCUUACCGUUCCAUGUGUGUCCUUUCUGAAGCUGCGUGCUUGGUGGAAGAGAUGGCCAUCUCAGAUAGGAGUGUGCCAAUAUUCGGUCAAGGGUAUAAGAUAGCUGCACUCCCCUACUAGAACUUCCAAACAAGCUCAUACUUGAUUUAUUGUAAUGAUUGAUUGGUUGAUACCUAGGAGAUUUUUGGUCAUGCAUUUGAUCAUGUAAAUCUGUAUCUACAG
rnacentral:snRNA from 1 species